GAGUUGGACUGAAAAUUGAAAAAUUUUGAAUGGAUCAAAUUUAAACUUUUUAAAACUCUGCUCAUUAGGUUUGUUUACACCGGUGCUGUUGGUUUCCUUAAACCAAAAUUGGAAGUUUGAAAUUGUAUCUGAGAGAUUGAGAUGGAAACAGCAUCCACGGACAUUAAGGCUUUCUACAGGCAAACGAAGACCCAGCCAAGGACCCGCAUUUCUCAUGUACGCUCAGGAUCUUCAAGCGUUAAUGCAAUUUGACAUGGACAUGGCCCGGGCUGGCGCGAUGGGACCGUGCUCAGCGUUUAGGUCUGAACCCAACAGAGAAAUUGAGGGUUUUUUUGAAGGAUGGAAAGGUAAACUCAGAUUGCCUGUGGGAUAGCCGUGUUUAGUUGUUAAUAGUAAGCUUGGUUUGAUAUUAGAAUCUGAUGUAUUGCUAGUUGUUGUGAUUUUAUUUUAGCAGUUCUCAUAUUCAGCAUCUGGUUGUGUUGUCAGUAAUGUUUAAUGAAUUUGCUGAUGGUAAUGGAGUGAUAAUCCUUGUGGACAACUGCACGCUGUGAUUGUGUUGUUUGGGGCUGUGUUGAUUAGUUUGAAGAACUGUGGGGAUGAGAAUAGUAGCUCAAGUAAUUCAAGCAUUUUUACCAUGAAGUAA